rnacentral:siRNA from 1 species
UAUACAUUGGACCAACAUC